rnacentral:lncRNA from 1 species
AUUGGAAUAUGUCCGACCCUGGGUCAUACUAAAUCGAAUUGUCUUAAAGCUAAAUCGGCAUUUUUGACCCUCACGGGUCGUCAUACGUCACAGCCUGCUGCUUAUACAGAGGUCAGGGCUGAGCUGUGAUGCUAAUGACAGUGGAUAAUCCAUUCUGAGUUGUUCUAGGACCAUUCACCAACGUUUCAAAACACUGAUGGAACUGAAUGCAGUACAUGUACUGGUGUCUGGCCUGUGAUUUCAAGUAUAAUUGAUGUAUCUCCUCCUGAUGUAUCUCCUUAAAUACAAUAUAUCUGCCAUGUGAAAGGAAGAAACUGCAAGAUAUACUGUGGAAGUGGGGGCCUAUGUAAACUUUUAACAUUUAAUUUAAAGAAUAUAAGAAGUCUGACACUAAACUAUACUGAAAAGGUGCACAGUGAACAUUUUUGUGUGUAUAGACUUUCAUCAUGAUUCUGAGAAAGUUGAUUUAUUAAACGAAAACUAUCAUAUAUUUUUGUCUUCAAAGCUGAAAAUAUUAAGAUCUUAGGAAAACAUUAGGACUGUAGAAAAGUAAAUGGGUUAUGAAACUGUAGUGUUCAACAUUUAAAUUGAAUGUGUUCUUUUACUACAUUUUGUGAAGAGGGUUCCAUCACAAGAUGUGCUAUAUCGGUAAGAAUGAGAUGUAGUUUAUGAAAAAAGUAUUUUGCUCUAAAUGUGCAGACUUUAAGU